UUUACAGGGAAAACUUGAGGUGUCUUACACUUUUAAUCCUCCGGUCAGUGAUUGCCUUGGGAGCAUAUUGUGGUGAAUUGGUGGAAUAAAAGGAAACUGUUCUCUCGGCCCUUGAUAUCUAGUUAAGUGUUUGAGUGACAGAAUGUUGGUGCCAGCAUUGGAAGAAUUGAUCAGCCUCAACUCCAGAUCUCUAUCCUGAGAGACAACAACAGGAUGUGCCUUGGAGAAGAGU